rnacentral:rRNA from 1 species
UACGUAGGGUGCAAGCGUUAAUCGGAAUUACUGGGCGUAAAGCGUGCGCAGGCGGUUUUGUAAGACUGUCGGGAAAUCCCCGGGCUUAACCUGGGAAUGGCGAUGGUGACUGCAAGGCUAGAGUUUGGCAGAGGGGGGUAGAAUUCCACGUGUAGCAGUGAAAUGCGUAGAGAUGUGGAGGAACACCGAUGGCGAAGGCAGCCCCCUGGGUCAAAACUGACGCUCAUGCACGAAAGCGUGGGGAGCAAACAGG